rnacentral:rRNA from 1 species
AUGUCGGAUCAUGAGCACUCGAUGAAAAUCAGCAGUAGCCACCAUAGAGGCAAAACGCUCAAACCAGGUGCGAGGGGCUUGCUUAGAGCCAUAGUGAGAGUGAUGAAGACGAGAAAGCAUGUCGUAAGGAGCAGGACACCAUUAAGAAAUGCAUUCUUAACAUCAAGCCUGGACACAGAUGAGUGGCAAACAGAGGCCUCAAUAAGAAGUGUGCGAACAGUGGUGAGCAAAAGUCUCAUCGUAAUCAAGACCACGCUCCUACUGAAAGCCAUUAUGCACAACACGAGAUUUGUAACGCCCAAGAGAACCAUCAGAGUGAGUCCUAACCUUGUAGACCCACCAAGUGAUGGGACGAACACGAGGAGGAACAUAUACAAUAUCCCACGCGCCAAUGCGCUCAAGAGCAGCAGUCUCCUCUGCCAUCACAAGGUGCCAUUUGGUAUGAACAACACCACAAUAAGAAGUUGGCUCAAGAACAACAUCGCCAAUGCUUGGAAGACCUAG